AGAUGACAAGAUGCCAAGGAGUAAAAAGUCAAUAACGUUUCAAUUUCCUAAACCUUCACAUUUUUUAGGCUUCCUGGGAUGGUGCAGCUGUAGAGUUAGAUUAACCCACGAAUAAUGUACCAGCAUGGACCAUUCUUCCAGCUUUCCAGUAGGGAUGCAGCCAACAACUGUAACAUCACCUGUGUCACUGAUAAGGCAGUUUCACUAAGCAAACAAGCAGUUCUCCUGUGGAAGAACAUCUGAUACCAAAAGCUUCCCUUCCUGCCAAUAAAAGAGUGAAGGCUGACACAGCUGCACUUGAAGCAGGUUGAAUAAAAACCGGACUCAGCCCCUUUAAGUCCGGCUGAUGACAAACGGGUGCUUUUUAUCUUUUGCUGUUGCUCUGGCUCAGUACAGCCAUUUAAUUAUUCAUAGGAAGGCUCUUUGGUAUUUUCACUGUAGAAGUCACAUCUGAGACUUAAAUCUUACUUCC
rnacentral:lncRNA from 1 species